AACCCAAAUUAAUAGUCCUACGGCGUAAAGAGUGUUAAAGCAAGCAAUAUAAUAAAGUUAAAAGCUAACUAAACUGUGGUACGCUAUAGCUAGUAUAAAAAUAAACAAUUAAAAUGACUUUAAUAAUACUGAAACACGACAGCUAAGUAACAAACUGGGAUUAGAUACCCCACUAUGCCUAGCCAUAAACCUAGAUAGUUUAAUAACAAAACUGUCCGCCAGAGAACUACUAGCUAUCGCUUAAAACUCAAAGGACUUGGCGGUGCCCUAAACCCACCUAGAGGAGCCUGUUCUAUAAUCGAUAAACCCCGAUAUACCCGACCCAAUCUUGCCAGUA
rnacentral:rRNA from 1 species